rnacentral:rRNA from 1 species
UACGUAGGGGGCGAGCGUUAAUCGGAAUUACUGGGCGUAAAGGGUGCGCAGGCGGCCGAGCAAGUCGGGUGUGAAAGCCCCGAGCUUAACUUGGGAACUGCGCUCGAAACUACUUGGCUAGAGUGUGGCAGAGGGAGGUGGAAUUCCACGUGUAGCGGUGAAAUGCGUAGAGAUGUGGAGGAACACCGAUGGCGAAGGCAGCCUCCUGGGCCAACACUGACGCUCAUGCACGAAAGCGUGGGGAGCGAACAGG